rnacentral:misc_RNA from 1 species
UACGGAGGGUGCUAGCGUUAAUCGGAUUUAUUGGGCGUAAAGGGCGCGUAGGCGGGGAUGCAAGUCGGAUGUGAAAUCCCGGGGCUCAACCUCGGAACUGCCUCCGAAACUGUAUCUCUUGAGGGUAGACGGAGAAAACGGAAUUCCGUGUGUAGCGGUGAAAUGCGUAGAUAUACGGAAGAACACCGGUGGCGAAGGCGGUUUUCUAGUUUACACCUGACGCUGAGGCGCGAAAGCUAGGGGAGCAAACAGG